rnacentral:rRNA from 1 species
GAUGAACGCUGGCGGCGUGCCUAAUACAUGCAAGUCGAACGGGGAGUAGCAAUACUUCUAGUGGCGAACGGGUGAGUAACGCGUUGGUGACCUGCCCCGAAGCGUGGGAUACCAAUCCGAAAGGAUUGCUAAUACCGCAUGGAGUUCUCGAGAUUAGAGGCUUGGGAACGAAAGGAGACAUUCACUUCGGGGAGGGCCUGCGUCCAUCAGCUAGUUGGUGAGGUAACGGCUCACCAAGGCGAUGACGGGUAGGGACCUGAGAGGGUCGGCCCCCACAAUGGAACUGAAACACGGUCCAUACACCUACGGGUGGCAGCAGUAGGGAAUAUUGCUCAAUGGGACGAAAGCCUGAAGCAGCAACGCCGCGUGUGCGAU